rnacentral:rRNA from 1 species
UCUUAGCAACCGGAUUUGGUCCUAGUCCUUCUCUUGGUCCUCUCUAAAACGAUACAUGCAAGCCAAUCGCGACACAGUGAGUAACAACCAGAGGUUAUUCUUAAAAGAAGUACCCUCCAAAAGUUAGGUAUCAGAAAAUUACUUUAAUUCUAUAACACCUAGCCAACCACAUCUGCAGUACCUAACAUUAUACAAUAAGCAAAAGCUUGAUAUAGUUAUAGACUUAAGAGUUGGUAAAUUAUGUGCCAGCCACCGCGGUUAUACAUAAAACUCAAACCAAGAAAAUUAUCGGUCUAAAGGUGACUAGAGAUAAACUUAUUUAGGGUAGAAAAAAACUCCAGUAUUAACAAGCUUCUACAGUAAACUAAUCACAACUACAACAUCACCCUUAACUUCAUAUAACUCAAAACACCAAAGCUCAAAAAUAAACUGGGAUUAGAUACCCCAUUAUAUGAGCCGUAAAAAAUCAACAACACCAGAGAA